UCUACUGCUUUGCGGUACUCAGGAAGAGACCUGCCAGCCUGACGCAUUAGCCAGAUAGGCACUCUUCCACCCGGCUCAUUUCUCUUAAUAAUUUUCGCUAUUGUUGUUUUGCCGCUUUCCAAUCUAUUCUAUUUAUUCUUUUGUAUAUUAAAGUAUAGUAAUAAUAAUAGUUCUAUCAAUAACUUGUUACUAACUUAAAAUUCAGUAAAAAUUGGCGUUGUUCAACUUGUGGAUAAAUAUGGAAUAAAUUGAGUAAAAAAAGAACCUUAGUAGAAAAAAUAGCAUAUAGAAUUUUUCUCUUCCUUUUCAAAAAAGCUUCUGUGUUGAAAAAGUGUGCGACUGAGGCAUUAAUGAAAGAUCUGCCAGACCUUAAUAUAUUUAAUGGUCUAUUAAAAUUCCGCGAUUGUGGUAUAAUGGAUAUAAUGACUCCACGUACAGAGAUAUGCGCAGUAGACAUUGAGUCAAGCGAGCGUGAAAUAAUAAAGAAGAUAAAAAACACUUGCCACACUAAAAUACCAAUUUAUAAAAAUAACUUUGAUAACGUAAUAGGCUUUUUUUAUGUAAAAGAUGUUAUUUUUAAUAGGGAUAAAAAUUUUAAUCUGAAACAUAUUAUACAAAGCGUAAUAUUUGUUCCACCCUCGAUGAAGACAACUAAUCUUUUUGUUAGGAUGAACUCUUCUAAAUCAUGCUUAGCUAUCGUAUUGGAUGAAUAUGGUGGAACUGAUGGUUUAAUUUCAAUGACUGAUCUUAUAGAGGAACUAAUACCAAACAUUGAUAGUGAAAACGAAAUAAAUUCAGAAUAUACCAUUACUGAAUUGUCUCAAAAUAAGUUUGAAGUAUCAGCAAGGGCUCUUAUAAAAGAUAUAGAAGAGGAUCUAAAAAUAGAAUUACGUGACCCUGAAGAAGACUAUGUUACACUUGGUGGUUUGAUUCUUUCGAUUGCUGGUAAAGUGCCUUCUGUAGAUGAAGUCAUUAAAUAUAAAAAUGGUAUGAAGUUUAUCAUCAAAGAUGCAAAUGAGCGCUACAUUAAUAAAAUAGUACUAGACUUAAGUGAUUACAAAAAUUAGAUUUGGUACCCCUUGUCGGGGAAUGCCUUGACACGAAGAAAAAGUUGUAAUAACCAAAUAUGCAACUCAAGUUAUAGUUAAACCUAUUUCCAGCAAAUUAUUUUCGCAAGUAUAAUGCAUUUCAGUGUUAUAGUACUCUAAUAAUAAAGAGGUCAUAUAGAUAUUAAUAUCUUUUGUA